GNGGCUGCUCCUCACCUGAACCUCGGAACCGCGGGGUACCGGCAUCAGGUGCCGUGGGUGUGUGUCGGCUGCUUUGCUCAGGCCUGUGUGCCAGGCUCGCCUCGAGCUCGGAGCAGCUUUGCUCACCUGGGGCCUUCAGUUGGGGAAAAGCACCCAGGAGGAGAGGCUGGGAUGCUCCAGGCUGGCAGUCAGCAGAGAUCUGGACACGAAAGAAAAGAAAGCAUGCUAAAGGAGAGAAAAGCAAAGAAGCCUCAGUAGAAAUGAAAGAGCAUGGACUGCAGAACAUUAAGGCUUGCUUCAGAGCAAAGUUUGGCAAAAGCACAGGUUUAAUGGCAGGACAUGCAUCAGCAGCCCAGCCUGAGAUUCUAGAAGAGCCAGAAGGAAUGGAGCAAGCUGGGUCAGACACUAAAAACAUUUGUUAAGGCCUCCCUUCCACACAAAUGACAAGUCAAGGGCUGCUGAGAUCCACACUACAAACAUCUGUGUUGCUUGUCCCUCUGUGGGUCAGCUGCUGGUGCAGCCUCAUCCUCCUCCUUGGACAGCAGCAGUUUGUGUAGUGGCCAGGGAACAAGGGGGGGACACAGCAGCCCUGGCUGCAGGGGCAGUGUGGAGGCAGAGCAGGCUCUGCCCCUCAUCUGCUCCUGAGAUACAGGUGGUAGGAGGGAGUGGAAAACACUGCCCAAGUGUAAAAUCUUCCACAAACCUCUGCAAGUCAACUGCAACCCUCAGUUCUUGGAACAGAAUGUGCUGGGAGUUGGUUGCCCUACCCACUGAGGGAGCAGCAGGAGACCCUCACAGGCAGCCCAGGAGGUUUCCCUUCAUUCUCUCCUAGCAAAAGACACUGCUUUUGGCUCUCUGCACCUUCUCUGCAGUGGCUGGACAGAGCUGCUGAGCCCCCAUGUGCUACCCCCACCAAGGGCUGCUCUAGGGACGUGGAAGAACUCAGUCAAACACCUGGCAAAAGAAUACAAAGCCCAGAGCAAGCCCAUAAAAUAAGUCAAAGAAAAAAUGCCCUCAGUAUUCAGAUAGCAACAAUGCAGUCCCCAAGAGGUCUCAUGGAUGAGGCAGAUGAACAUCACAGCAAAAUGCUGCAAUGCCUGUGUGAUGGGCCAGCCAGUCUCAGAGUUACUAUCAAUAACUUUGCCAUCAAGGCCAGAGGAAGAUGAACUACAGCAACAAGAGAUAACUGCUAGAAAAAAAAAAAAGGCAGCAAACAAGGUUGAUCUCAACACAGUGUGCUGAGAGACACCGAGGACACAGCUCCACGUGUGUUCUGCUUCUCAUCUCACCACCAGGCACAGCCCCUUCUCCUCCUCUUUAGGUAACUUGAAGGAGAUCUCAUCCCAGAGAGAAGAGCAGCACCUGUGACUUACAGAAAUGAGCCCUCCCAGCACACAAGAGGAAUUAUUUCUACCCUUGUCCCUCUGACAUUCUCUAACAGCACCACUCUCCUGCACCAGCACAACGGGCUGUGAACCACCUGGGGCUACAAAGGCUCAUCAUUAAUUCACACAUUCUGCAAAAAACCACUCAAGCAUUUACUUCCACCUUUGGUUCUGACAGCAACAGCCUGGCCUUGCUUUGCUUCAGCUGAUAUGAGUCUGUUCUAGCAUUUCCCUCCCCAGUUACUGCUUCCAUCCUCUCACCUUUUUUUUGUCUCUGUCCCAUUCUCAUUUGCUUUUGUUUUUCUCAAACAUAAUAUUCCUUUCCUCUGUGACCUUGUGUCUCCCCUCUUGUAAACUGCUUCCCUCCCUCACUGCUUCAAAUUUCUCCUGGAUGGGGGGUAAGGAAGAAUCUAACAAAUUCACAGUCACAAAUUCACUGGCACUCAGAGAGAGCACAGCAACACUGCUCCCUUGUCCUGUUGCCUACACCCUUCCUGCUGGGUGCUGCAUUCAUUCUUUGGAAAUAUGAAAUCAUAGACCUAAUGUGAAAGCAGGAAGGGUAAAAGAAAUUAACUUCUAAGUAAAAAGAAAGAUUAUCUGCUUCUAAUCCACGGCCACACAAUGGUUCAAAUGCACGUGUCAUACUUUCACAGCAGCACAACAUCCAUAGCUGCUUGAGAGGCUUAACAGCAGCAUGCAGAGAAGAUUCUGAGCGAGCUGUGCUCCAGCUAAUCCUGCUAAAAGAGCAGUGAAGCCACAGCAGCUCAGACCUGCCUGCCUAAGUAAAUACCUAGAAUCCUGGAGGGGGAAGGGAGCUGUGCAUCCUGCCAAAGCCCCACAUCACUGUGGCUUCUCUGUGAAUGGUACCAAGGCUUGCACAAGUUUGUAAUGCCUACACUCACUCCAAAAACAUCCCCACAGCUGCAGAGCAGAACAGAGCUGAGGCAGUUUGCACCCUUGUGUUUCUACGCCAGGGAAUGUGUGAGGCCAUGGUUUGACAAUGCACUGUCUUGGCAGCAGUAGGGUUUUAGGUUUCCCCCACCAAGCCAUAAACCACUUCACUGCCCUUUCCCCUCUUAUCCCCUUAGUUCUGCAACCCCACAGAUGCCUGUGGUCCAGAUAAAGAACUCAGCCAGCUCAAAGAAAAAUAUCUUUGACGCUUCCCUUCUAAGCUGGAUCAGCUCUGUGAUCUAGUUCAUGGCUCAGAAAUCCACACUGGAAGGAUACAUGCACAGUAGAUAUGGGGUGGGUACACUUAAAAGCUUCUACUGCAACUGAAGAACAUAUUAGCAAAACGCUGCUUCAUUUUCCUUCAGGCUGAAGCUUAGGCAAUUCCUGGGAUUUACACGUGGCUGCUUUAGGGAUAAAUUACUGGAAUGCAACAUUGCUUCUAUUUUUAUUUUUCCUUUGUAACCUUUGAGUUACUAAUGUGCCUUCCAGCCUUAGCUCCAGCUUUUGCAUAUCACUGUUUACUUGGUGAUAAACAAUACAGAAACAUGUCAUUUUAUUUCUUAGUGCUGGCCAGGCUACUUGGAGAAGGAUCAGGGAUCCAGGCCCAGUGCAGAAGAACAUCAGUGAGGAUGGGCUGUGAAUGCAGUUGCCUGGGGAAUACAGCACCAUUCUCUAAAAGGUGUAAUAACUAAGCUAAGGAAAGCUAAACACCUUGCUUAUUUCCUUGACAUAUCCUGAAUCAUCGUCUCCAAACCCAGGAAAACAGCACACUCAGUAUGUACAAUUUCACACAAAACUGAGAUCCAUAAAUAAUAAUUAUGGUGUUUACCUAUACCAGGAGCCUGUCCCCCAGGCCACAAAGAUCAAAUAUCAAAAGAAAAAGAACAAGAGAUGUUUGCCACGUCAAAUCCCUACAACUUUAUUUCUCUUGUAUGGAUGAAGAAAAGGCUCUGCUAGGAUGCUAAACAGAUUCAAAACAAACUAUUUUCUUCAUCCUUUCUAUCUCUUCUCUGUGUAAAGACAGUACACCCACAUGUAAGGAUGUUUAGUGAACCCUGAAGCUCCCACUCAAGUACAAAACCAAUUCAUUUAGCAACAAAAAGUCCCAUUAAUUUGUAAACUCUUUCUUCAGUACGAGGUAAAAUCAAAGACAAAACCAUGCCAAGUUAGCUCCAAGCCUGUCUAUGGCUUGCUUCUCCUUUAGGCACAUGAAGUGGGAAAUAAGUGAAGGCAGCUGUCAGUGCUGACAGACUCUUACCAGGCACCCCCUCACUGGCCAUUCAAAGUGCCAGAGGAUGAUCCCUCACACUGCUGAACAAGCUGACUGCGAGCAUGGGCUACAGAAGCAGAACUGCACUGAAACACAACACAGCCCACCCCAGGAAACAGCCAUCAGCUCAAACCCAGAGCUAAACAAGCAGUUUCACACAGGCUGCACUGUCCCUCCUGCAGGAGACGUGAAACCCUCUCCAGGGAACAGAACAGAAGGGAAGCAGCACCCCAGGAAGGGACAUUUCUAAAUACAUUGCUGGACACUAGAAUGACAACUGCAGCUUAUGCAGCAUGCAAAAAAGGAGUUUGUGAAUACAAAAUUUCAGCAGAUUUUCCCACAGUCACCAAGAUCCAUUCCAGGUUUGCAUCCUCUGCUCUCUCAUUCCAGUAACUCGACCAUGGGGAGUGGCUGCAGGAACAAGACCUGUCACAUGUAAAUUUUACACGACGCUUCGAUGUUUGCUAAGGAAGGGUAAGGUCCUCACAUGCGAGUCAAGUGUGUGUGUGCAUGUACAGAUCGAGAACUGCAUCUUAUUUUUGAGCAGGAAGGAGGAGAAAGCAAUGUACCUUGCAUAUGGAAGCAGCAAGACAGCUGGUGGUUUUCUCUACCCUCCCUCCCCCGGGGGAUCCCAGGCCAUGGAUGUUAACCAGCCUCCAAGAAACUUCUGUCUCUCCCACAGAUGAGCUUUAUCCCCAUAGCAGACAGCGUCUUUAAGUCUUUAGGAGAUGAAUUAACUGCAGUCCACUUUUAAUCUUUUAGGUGUGUCAAACCCAGAUCAUUAAACAUCUAAAAAAGAAGAUCAGAGUUCUUUAAUCUGCCCAUAUAUUCCAUCAAGAGUUCAUGCAGAGACUAGAGGACAGGUCUGAUCUGUUUGUAGCAGUUACUGGGACAUGUUGCAUUUGCUCUCAUUGGCAUUUGUGGGGACAGAUUAAACACCCAGGCAGAUCUAAUGCCCAUGCAGAAGAGGUUCCAUCAUCCACCCCUAAUGUCAAAGCAGGGGCUACUGAGGCCAUUCUCCACCUCAGGGAAACCUGAGGCAUCCUCCCACAGGACAGAAGGAGCUGCUCACUACAGCUACUGAGAGUCAUUAGAAAAAUCCAGGAAGCUAACCUGAUUAUCCAGCAGAGUCCAGACAAGACUGCUCUGUAGCAUGCAAAUUCCGAGGAUCUCCCUUCUGCCAGCACAACUUCCCUGCUGCUCAUCUUUACUCCCGACAGCUCCGGCCGGCAGCCGCGGUGUGCUGCACGCUGAGGAAUCACACACACCUCACAGCCAGCCAGGCCUGCACAACACACACAGCACGGCAGGCAGCACGGCAGGAGCUGCAGAGGUGUAAAUUCCCAUCUCUCCAAGCCAUCUGACACUCUGAGCAGUUUCAAUCCAGCUGAAAUACUGGGAGGGAAGCACAACCACUGCACACCACAAACCAGACAGGGGAGUCCAACCGAUAACAACAGCUGUGAUUAGGAAGAGAACAGGUUACACCUUGAGAAGAUGUGGCCUUUCAAAUACAGGGUGUCUCCACAGCCAUUUGUAAAUUUUAGGAUAUAGCACAAGCAGUGGGAUGUGACUAACACUAGGAGAUGAUGUCACACCUAUUGCCACUGCAGAAGGCACGACUUGAGUGUGUCCCUGUGACAGCUGACAGUGCCUAUGUCCCAGUGGCUGCUGCACAUCCUCCCAGACACUUACACGGUUUCAUUUCUCCUACCUAGAGUCCAAAACAGCAAACACACACAUACACGAAUGAGGAAUGUUCCCAGCAUGAAUGGCUGCAAAUAUCUUCCCAAUAGACACAGACAGAGAAAUUUGGUCAAGGCUGAAUGACACAGGGACCAGCCACUGAAGGAAGAGUGUGAAUACUCAGCACAGGCCGGGGCCCAAGCAGUCAAACUCCUGUUACCUUUUUUCAUAUUUUUUUUUCACUGUUCCUCCCAUUUACCACUGAGUGAUCAUGGCACAACAUUACACCCCAUAACAUGGAUGAAUACCUCAGGGUCCUGCCUUAGAGAGAAGAGCAAAUGAAUCUCUUUCCUUACAGCAUCUGUGUCUUUAGAUUCCUCUGCUGAUCUAUGUUUUCUCAGGCAGGAUGGAAAGGUUUCCAUGUUCAUUUCAUAUUGGCAGUCAGGCCACUGGAUGUCCUUGGAAAGGAAAUCCCAAGGCACACUGGAACACCUUUAUAGUUUUCUUUUCCACUCCUUGCUCAGGUUUGUGCACCAUGUCCUCAUUUACCACAAGUCUAACAGGCAGAAAGCAAGUUUUAUGCCUGGUUGUUCACAUGUAGAGACUUUUCAGCACAGAGAUACAAGGACAGAUACACUCAGAAGUACCUGUGGCUUUGUGCCAAAGGCAUCAGGAGCUUUAGCACUGACUAGAUCAGAGGUGCAAACUGACUAAAAGAGAGCAAAAGUUUCUAUGAAAAAUAAGGUAUAAAACACCGAGAGCAAAACCAAACAAGUAAACAACCAUGAACCAUGCACAGCUGUAAGGAGAAGUACCUGGAAAUCAAAAAUAUAUCCUAACAAAAGCAGGGCCUUCAUUAUGAGUGCUGAAGUUUUAGGAUUCAAGCAGUUUCCCCUGUGUAGGUUCCCAUCCAUGUCCACCCACUGUCCCCUAAAUCACAUUUGCAAGGACCAUGGCACAGUAGGAGCUGGCUAAGCUAAAAAUAACUGGAAAGAGUGUUAUUUGAUAAGCCCCAGCAAUUCCUAUCCCAUUUCACUGAUGUCUCCACACAAUGCAGCAGUGUAAGAGCACAGAGGUGGGAUGCAGCAAAUGUGACUGCUCAGGUCAGCACUACUGCUGUGCUCAAACUACAGCCCUCAUUUCAGUUCUAAAAAAAACAACAUCAGGAACAAAGGCCAAAUGGAAACUGCAUGUGCUGACUGCACUGGGAGGGCUGCUGCUCUCACACCCAGGUGGCUCUGUCAUCUGCCAGGUGAAUGGAAGAAAAUUCCAACCAUGACCAGCAUACUAUUUACUAUUUUGCUCUUCACAGUUGUCUCUGAGUUUUGCAGCCGCUUCAAACAACAUUUGGCAAUCCGAAUCUCCAGAGAAGUAGAUGGUAAAAUUAAUUGAAACAAAAUGGAGCAAUUCUCAGCCCAUGAUCUCUUAAAACCCCUCCCCAGUUCUAUAUACACUUUUUCCUGUAUUUAACUAGAGCAGACCAACAGUCCUGGCAUGUGGAGAGGAAAGGGCCUGUUCAAACAAGAGUUUAACUGAACUGACAGUUCUGUGAGAAGGGAAGGGAGGGUCAGCCCUAGGCAGUGGGGGGUAUUAAAGUCUAUUUGAAAGAAACAGUAAAAUGUCUGAUAAGAACACUGUUCUGUUUCUAGAUCUUCAACCUCUUUCAGGAUGAGCUGGUUUUGCUUUACUUUUUUGCAAUAUUGUUUUGUUUCCUCACUAGUGCAGCUGGGACACUUAGAAGCCAAUAAAGGUAGCUGCCCUCUUCCUGUUUACACUGUAAAUCCACCCAUUGACAUCUUACUCCUAACUGUGAAAAAUAAGCUAUUGAUUUACUAUCUUGGCCUAGAAAAAGCAACCCAAGCUAAAUGCCUUGCUAGGCAGAUGGUUCUGCCUACACCACUGACAACCCUUUCUGAACACAGCUGCUGCCCGAGCUCAGUGUCUUCCUGUCAUCCGGCUGGAGGAGAAAAAACACUUUUGUGUCAUUCAUAAUCAUGGCAAGGUAGUUAGAGGAACUUCUUUGAAUUAAAGAUGCUGAAGGUGGAACACAGCUUCCUAUCAGCAUUAAUAAACACCAAAUUUUCUCCAUCUCUUUCCUCUUGAAACUACUAGUUUAAGAUGAAGGUCAAGUUCUGCUCUGGGUUAGGAAGUUCUCAGCUGACAUACCACACCACAUUUUUCACAAACUGUGUGCUUCUGUGUGGAACCUGCUUUUAGAAGUGGAAGUCCUCCUCUAAUUUUUAGAAAGAGUAAAUUUAGAAAAACACGAUUCAAGGACAAGCAGCACAGUUGUGCCCGAGUUCUCUGAGAGGCUGAAAACCAGAUGAGAGGAAAGACCUCUCAGUCUGAGCUCAUGGUGUACUUCAUCAGACACCAACAAUGCUGGUUUACACUUCAGCAUCAUUGACUGAUUCAUUGCUGUUCAGAUUUUAUUAAACAUGGGAUAAGAGGGAGCUUAUUUUGGUAACACAGAUGUGUUACACCACCACUUCAUUAAGCCCUGCCAUCCCACAGCAUGAAUGAGCCAACAAGGGAUUUUGAAGCCAUGCCAAGGGGAAGCACUAAAAUGCCAAUGAAUUUCAGCCACAGGAAAACAGGACCACAUCAGUCCCAAGUACAAGAAAACAACCUGUGUAGAUGAUGGUGUCCCCCAGGAGCUUUGUUCUGUCCCCAGGCUUGUACACACAAGGCAGAGCUCCUGCUCAGACAGCAGCUCCCGAAGCAGACCGAGUGUUCUCCUGCCCAGCAAGUCACAAAGCAGCUCCACUCAGUAACUCUGCACCAAGGCCAAGAACUGAGCUCUUGCAGCUCCCCAGGAUUUCAAGGGGAGCUUGGCUCUGCAGGGAUCCACAGAGCCAGGCAGGACCAGAGCCUGGCUGCCUGAACAGAGAGCUGUGACUG